CUGGGUUUUUUGUUUUCUAGGAGUUGGCCUGGGCCCUGCCCUGGAGUUUUGUAUUGCCGUCAACCCCAGCAUCCUUCCCACUGCUUUCAUGGGCACAGCAAUGAUCUUUACCUGCUUCACCCUCAGUGCACUCUAUGCCAGGCGCCGUAGCUACCUCUUUCUGGGAGGUAUCUUGAUGUCAGCCCUGAGCUUGUUGCUUUUGUCUUCCCUGGGGAAUGUUUUCUUUGGAUCCAUUUGGCUUUUCCAGGCAAACCUGUAUGUGGGACUGGUGGUCAUGUGUGGCUUCGUCCUUUUUGAUACUCAACUCAUUAUUGAAAAGGCCGAACAUGGAGAUCAAGAUUAUAUCUGGCACUGCAUUGAUCUCUUCUUAGAUUUCAUUACUCUCUUCAGAAAACUCAUGAUGAUCCUGGCCAUGAAUGAAAAGGUUA
rnacentral:sRNA from 1 species